ensembl:lncRNA
GAAGCUUGCUCAGGACCACCACCAGGAGACAAAGCCCUGUCAGGUUUCCAUGCUAAACCCUCUUCUGCUUUUAUCUUCAGACUGGCAAGUUGUUGGCUUCAAAGACUUGGUCGUGGCUGAGAUGUUAGUUUACAAGAGGUACCAGUCAUUUCAACCAUGCCUCAUUAGGGCACCAUGUUUUGUCAGGUACGUGCCUCUGCUCUUGUUCCAUGUCCCAAACCUUUCCUGACAGUCUUGCUUCAGACCAGAGCUGUGUAGCAUUAAGCUCUCUAAGGUUUCAGAAUUGGCCAGCAAUGAAUUGAUUUUGUUUUCAGCUUGUAUAGAGAUCACCAUCAGUUCUCUCAGACAAAGUCUAAGACUUGUGCUAACCCAUUUUUUCUCUGCUUUUGUCACUGUAAGGCAUGUUGGGCUCUUUAAUACUGAUGUGGCUGCAUGAUAACAGCAAUGAAGAUAAAUUACCUCAAAAAUAGGCAAUAAGCCUUUUAGCUCUUUACAGCAAAUCAAAGCUGCUCUGAACAGCCCACAGAUGAAAGAAUGGCUGUUUAUCUUCAUUUACAGCUACUAUGGAGAGGCACCAGCAUGUAAAUUCGUUGGCCCAGGGGCAACAGCUGAAGUUGUGAAGGAGUCAUAGGGUUUGCCAGUAGGAGAGGAGGAACCCCCUCCUCCCCUCUGCCAACCCAUGCCGUUAUGUGCUAAAUAUUGCUUCUGUGGCCACCUCAAGAUUUUUAGUUAAGAAGUGGCAGUCACCAUAGGUGAUGACAUCCCCUGCCACUGAGGCUGCCAUCUCUGUCACUGUGCUGAUAUAGUAACAGCGCAAAAGGAGGGGUUAUUUAAAUGCACAAAUGUCAACUAAGGCUUUAGACUCCUGGAGUGCUAGCUUGUCCCUCCUAGCACGGGGCAUAUGAGGGAAUCAUCUGUCAGCAUUUGACAAGUCUUAAAGCAGAUGUUGCUUCCUUUUUUCUCCUCCCCACAAGAAGUAUGACUUGUUGUCUUCUUCCAAUGUGAAGAGCAGAACUUCCUUAUUGGAACUCACCCAGUGGUUAACAGGCAUUUAAGGUUUGCCCAGAGAGCUAAUUCGCAUCUUGUCUCACAAGUGAGGCACUCUUGAUUAUCAGCAGGGAGUACCAUAUACAAGGCAAGUAGAAAUUGCAGACACCUUACUGGAAGCUCCAGGGAUGGGCUGAACCUGCCACCAUUGCCUCUCUGAGGGAGUAACACGUCUGAAGUAAUAGACACAAACUCCUUAUUACAUCCACCUUGUAUAAUAGACCUGCAUGGUGGCCAAGGGAAAUCGGACACAGAUGUGAGAGAUGAUAAAUAAUUAUAAACUCAUUUUUAUAUAUUUUUUUGUCUCAAUUUCGUUUUCUUGCUCACGGAUACUGUUCGAGCAAUGCCUGUUAAUAUGAGGAAGCACAUAUCCACAACCACCUUAUAUACAAAGAUAACCGGUUCAGGCCUGCUGACUGUGUUUUCUUUUUGUUUCCAGACAGCAGCAGGGGAGAAGUUAAUGGUGCUACGCUUGGUUGCAGUGUUUCUGUCAUUGCUAUCAUACUCUGCAAUUCCUUAUUGCUAUUUUCUGGCAAAUCUGCUUCUCAGCAAUACUUGCUUGGUAGAACUCCUUUGGGUAUUUCAGUUUCAAGUUUGAUCUAAUUCACUCUCACUAACAGGACAUCACCUUGUGUUAGGUCAAAAGCACCUUCUUCUCUGCCAUUUCGUAAAUGUUCUUAUCCAAAGUGAAAUAGGAGGAGGAGGCAGAUAUAUCGUUGCUUGAGAAGGAGAAAGAAGAAAAGAUAAAGCCAACAAUAAAAUGGUUUAUAAUUUCCAAGAGCAGGUAUGGAGGUUUAGAUAACCCUGUGAUGAGCACACAAUAAAUGCAAGAGCUAGAGAUUAUUACCUUGGCAUUGACAAAUCAUUCACAGUUUUGUUUGCCAUAGUUAUUUGAAAACCUAUUGCAAAUCUUGUAAUAGCUAGCAACAUCCAACCUUGUGUCUCCAAAAAGUGCUGGGUGUUGCCAACACAAAAGCCUAUGGAGUAACAAAAUAAGGGCUAGAAGGACAUCAGGAUUAGGCAAAGUAUGUCACCUAUCCAUGGUUUUGAGAAAUAGUACCAUCUCUUACUCCUGUCAUUAUGCAGUGGUAUAAAUUCUUUGAUCUCUGAAGUGAUUUGAUGCAUCCCUGAUACUGUGUGACCGUUCUCCCAUAGGAAUGGGCAGCAGGGGGUCGCUCCACCUCUGGUUUAUGAGAAUAUUUGCUAUAGGCAGUCCUCUGCAACACAGAAAGUUACACAUUACAAUUUUUAGAACAAUGAGGACUUGACAGAAAGCUUUAUCUCAUAUGGGGCUACGAGUCCUGGCUUUCAAUUGACGUGACCAGGGUAUAUGCACCACAGAAAAGCACAAAUUGUUGUAUUUAACAGUGGUGAUUGUGAGAUAUCUUCCCUUCAACUUGUGGCGCCCUGAAAUACAGAGUGGUUCUUUUGGAUUACUUUGACAGGCCUUAACAUUUCAAUGACAGCCUCUGUGUGGGAACUGCAGUAACCUAGCUUUAUAGGCUGAAGAACAGCAGGAAUAAAGGCCCUUUGAAGGAAGCCUUCAAACAUGUUUUAAGCAUAAGUUUUCCCUGUAGUGUGGAAUAAGUCAACUUCUUGGUGAGUGAUAGGAGAAAGGUUUUAAAUGUAAACCUUGGAGGAGCCGAGGAGCAGUGUUGUUGCCAUUUGUGAACAGCUAUGCAAUCUCCUUGCAGUAAUGUGUGUGGGGUGUCUCCCUCAGGCUAUGCUCAUAUGCAUUUCUUUGUAUGUAUAUACUGCCCUUUGGUUUUAUCAUUACUUUUAGCUCACCAAAAAAAAAAAAAAAAAGAUACAAAAUCAAGAACGUUUGUAAAAGGCAGUGUUUGUCAGAAAGUUCAUUUCCUUCAGCUGUCAUAAAAUCGGAAUCCUGUGCUAUGGAUAAUAAUGCUAUUUUAAGAUAAACCCCACUAUUGAGAUAAAUGAAAAAGAAAUUAUUUUUUAAAAGGACUAAGUCGAUCCUGUGAGCAUACAGCUUUAGUAAAGAGCUAAGAAAGGACAGCUUGGGUAUCAGCUUGUCCUUGUCUUUCUGUGAAAUAAUACUUCUGAUUGCUUAGGACUGAAUGAAUUGACAAGAAGUCAUUCUGAAGCAAAUAUAAGGCAUGGAUGGUGGCAGAAAAGCCACCGGUAACUAUGACAAAUGCACCAGGAAUUAGGGCUCUUCCACAGGCUGAAGGGAAGCAGAGCUCCCGAACUGCUGGUGAAUGACCCAGGCUUUCUGCACCACUCCCAGCACUAGUGUGGGGACCAGUGGAAUGAGUGAAUUCAGAUUGCAGCCAAACUCCCAAAUCUAGGGUCUCAAUUGAAUCUGUGGUUGUAGAACAAGUUCUGCCCAUUGUAGAUAUAACAUUCAAGCACAUUAAGAUGAAAAGUUUUCACAGGCCCAGACUACUCAAGCAGUAGGUCUGAACGUAGCUAUGGUAAUGCAGACUAAUGGCUGCUGCUCUGCAGUUAUUACUGAACAUGAUAAUAAGGAUAUGUGGUCCUCUGUUACACGAGAGAACAAAGAUUUAACCUUCACUUCUAAUUGCAUUAACAUUGCUGUUUCCCACUAAAGCUGUUCCAGGGAAAUAAGAUUGAUUUCUGAAUAUGCAAACAAUUAAGGACUCCAUUCACAUUGCUCUCGUAUAUUUUGGGUAACUUAAUGAGUUUUAAAGAAAUCAGGAAAAAAAGCAGCAUUAUACUAGCAAUUGCUAAAAGAAUGGAACUUCCUGGGUGACUUGCAAGAGUGUCUUCUGUAAAAUCCUGGCUAUUCUAGACUAAAAGCAAUUUUAGUAAGGUCAUGAUGUUUUCAAUUAUCUGUUUUGCAGAUAUUUUAAGUACAAUAAAUGUUCACAGAUGUCACAUCUCAAGUUUACAUUCCCUUGUAUGCAUUAAGCCACCACAAUUCCCAAAAAUAUGGUCGCAAUGAAAUGACACAAGUGACAACCUGGGAAGCCUACAGGGCUACCUGUGGACACAGGUGAGUGAGAGAUGGGAGCUGCUGGGAAAGCCUCUUUCCUGUGUAUGUGACCUGACAGCAUGAAUCUGGGACUGUGCAAGACUGAAUCCACAAAAGAAGAUAUGCUUCAUUUACGAAAGGUACUAGGUCUUCAUUCAGCACAGAACUGCAGAGG